rnacentral:lncRNA from 1 species
ACAAUGUCUGGCACAGAGUAAGUGCUUAAAAAAAAUGUUUAUUACCAGGGAAGCACAAAGAACAGAAUCAAUACAGGUCAAGAAUGAGUGACAGGGGGAAGGUGAGGUAGACAUGGUUUGGUUUUUCACUGAUGAAAAGAGUUACAUCUUGGAGGAUGAAGAUUUUCGUGGGGAAAAACUCUUCUGCCUGUUCCUGGCUUCCUCUUCCCUCUCUCCUCACUCCAAAGCAAGGUGAGAAAAUUCAGGCUUUCUUCUCCCUCUCUCUCCUCAGGCCUCUGAAUGACAUUUGACAGGUUCUUCAGAGCCUGUCCUGAGCACUGCUGCCCAGGAAAAGACUCUCCUUUAAGUCACAAUUCCAGGCCUUUUUUCUCCAGCUGCUGUCCAGAUGGAAGUUUGGGGCUCAGGCCCAACUGCCUGCACCCACAUCGGCACUCUAAGAAUUCCAGGAGAUGUGUUUGGAAGCUAACGAAGAUCCCCCUUCUCUGAGCGGGGCACUGAGAACCCUGUUUGCAUGUCUCUUUGAUCCUUCCCAGUAGGCUACAGAUGACUGGACCAGGGUGGGCACCUGCCUCACUCUGAGCCAAUCAGAUCCUCUCCUGGGAGUUUGGGAUUGGAUCUGCCAAGCCCCAAGUUCUCUCUCUCCAUGUGGCUGAAACCAAGGGACACAAUACAGGAACUAUAGGUGGCUUGGUGCCUGAAAAGGCAGAGAUAUCCAGUCUGUGGAUACAGAAAGGCAGGGUGCAGAGAAUGGCUGCUUCAAGUUCCCUUGGCCCUCCAGGUCCCGCCUUCCUGAAGCUAAUGGUUUUCCUUCCCCUUAGUUCCAGGGAAUCCCUUCUGUCCUUGUAAUAAGCCCUUCUUUAUUACUGAAGCUGGUUUGAGUGGGUUUCUGUAUAUAAGCAAAGACCUAAUUAAGACAAGAGAGAAGCUGGGAGCCGGAGGUACGCAGAUGAACAAUCCUGAAAAAAUAAUCACUGUGCCUACGUCGGAGAAGCCCAGUGCAGUGGGAGACAGCGAGUAAGAGAUGUAGACUUUGCACAGAUGUGGCAGAGGGAGGGUGGGCUAACUCUGCCUGGGGAGGAGCGGAAGGGCUCCACAGGCUUCACAGCGAAGGUAGCAGCUGAGCCGAUUUUGAAGAAUUAAGGACAUUCUCCAUGGAGACAAAGUAGGGGUGGGGAGGCAUUACAAGCAAAGGGAACAGCAAGUGCAGAUGCACAGAGACCCAAAACAGCCUGGUGUCUUAGAGGGACUGGAGUUCAAAGUGUGGCGGGGAAGCAGGGAAGACAGGCAGUCAGGCGCACAUCAUAAAGGGCUUUGAAUACCAUGAUAAGAAGCCGAGGCCUUUUCCUGUCAGUGACAGGGAGCUAUUGAAGUAUUUUAAGUAGCAGGGGGUGACGGGGUCAGUUCUGUGUUUUAGAAAGAUUGUUCUGGGGCUGCUUGGAGAAAGGGCUGGAAAAGGCAGGCCUGGAGGCAAGGACCAGUUAGGAGGCUGCAGCACUCCUCAUCUAGUCCCUUCAUUCAUCUAACAGCUCACUGUGUACCUACUAUGUGCCGGGGUGAGGCAAAACGGAUUCCUGAGCCCACAGAGUUCACAGCCUAGCAUGAAAUAGACAUGAGGGAAAAGCGAUUUGAGUGUGCUGAAUGUUAUGAAGAAGUACAAGGUCCUCUGGAGCAGGGUGCUGUUUACUGUCUGGUUUUUAGGCUUCCCUGCGGAAAUGACGUUCGAGCUGGUAUCUAUCUGAAGGAUAAGUAGGAGUUAGCAGGGCCCCAAGAGGGGGCGUGCAUUCCAGGAUUGGGGACAACACGUGUGGAAGUCCUGCAGCUGAGGGAGAGUGGCAGAAGAAGACACAAAAAGGUAGGCAAGGACCAGAUCCCACAGGGCCUCGGAGACUGCGUCAGUGCAUCUGGCUUUCAUUCCAAGAAGGCUUGGAAGGGUCCUAAGCAGGGAAAUGACACAAUCCAACGUUUAUCCUAAGAAGACCAUGAAAGAAAGCGGGGCAAGAACAAAUGUCAGGAGACCAGGACCUCACAGGCACCACGGCGCCCCCUGCCCUGCCCUGCCCUGAAGCAGUUCCAGGAACGUCAGAUGGUAAGAGAAGAAACGACUUACAAACGUCAAGUCCAUUUUACAGAUGGAAAAUCUGAAGCUCAGAUAGGAGAAAAGACUUGCCCAAGUGCCUGGUAUGAAGAGAAAGACUUUAUAAUGUCCCUUUCAGACAGAAGGAAGUAGAGUGGCCGGCCCUGAAGCCCAAGUUAACCUGCUUCCCCUGCGCUCUCUACUUCUAGAGCAAUGGUUUUAAACUUGGGGCGAUUUUGCCCCCCAGGGAACAUUCGACCAUGUCUGGAGACAUUUUUGGUUUUCCCAACGAGGAGGUUGCUACUGGCGUCUCAUGAGAAGAGACCAGGGAUGCUGCUACACGCCUUCAAUGCACAGGACAGCCCCUGCGCCAGAGAAUUGUCAGGCCCGAAAUGUCAGCAGGUUUCUGAGGUUGAGAAACUCUGUUCUAGGGCCUGGCAUCUGCCUAUAUAAACUUCCAAAUAGACUCCUGGAGUCCUGGGUUCUUCUGCAGCCCGGGAGGAUACUGUAUGAAGUCUUUCCUAGGGUCGUGCCUGCCCCAACUUGUAUAUUUAACCUUGCUUAGGACUGGUCAGUUCCACUCUUGGGCUCCAGUGUUUUGAAUUCCACCCACUGACAGAGAGGACAGAAUAAUUAAUAUUUGCUGGAGGCAUGUAAAACCAGUAGUCUCCCUGCUGAGGGCAUGAAUUAAAAUGUAAAUGGGA